rnacentral:rRNA from 1 species
UACGUAGGGUGCGAGCGUUGUCCGGAAUUAUUGGGCGUAAAGGGCUCGUAGGCGGUUUGUCGCGUCGGGAGUGAAAACACACAGCUUAACUGUGUGCUGGCUUCCGAUACGGGCAGACUAGAGGUAUGCAGGGGAGAACGGAAUUCCUGGUGUAGCGGUGAAAUGCGCAGAUAUCAGGAGGAACACCGGUGGCGAAGGCGGUUCUCUGGGCAUUACCUGACGCUGAGGAGCGAAAGUGUGGGGAGCGAACAGGAUUAGAAACCCCUUGUAGUCC